rnacentral:rRNA from 1 species
UACGGAGGGCGCAAGCGUUAUCCGGAUUCACUGGGUUUAAAGGGUGUGUAGGCGGGUAGUUAAGUCAGUGGUGAAAUCUCCGGGCUCAACCCGGAAACUGCCAUUGAUACUAUCUAUCUUGAAUUUUGUUGAGGUAGGCGGAAUAUGUCAUGUAGCGGUGAAAUGCAUAGAUAUGACAUAGAACACCAAUUGCGAAGGCAGCCUACUAAACAAAUAUUGACGCUGAGGCACGAAAGCGUGGGGAU